rnacentral:piRNA from 1 species
UUGGAUUGAUAUGCACAUAAAAGACAGGAC